GACGAACGCUGGCGGCGCGCUUAACACAUGCAAGUCGAGCGAAGCGGCGGACGGGUGAGUAACACGUGAGUAACCUGCCUUAGACAUUGGGAUAGCCUCGGGAAACCGGGAUUAAUACCAAAUGGUCUAAGAUGGACUCGAGUCCCAUUAGCUAGUUGGUGAGGUAACGGCCCACCAAGGCGACGGUGGGUAGCCGGCCUGAGAGGGUGAACGGGCACAUUGGAACUGAGAGACGGGGCAAACUCCACGGGAGGCAGCAGUGGGGAAUAUUGAACAAUGGAGGGAACUCGGAUGCAUCGACGCCGCGUGAACGAAGAAGGCGUGCGAGUUGUAAAGUUCUUUUAUAUGGGAAGCGGUACCAUAAGAAAAAGCCCCGGCUAACUACGUGCCAGCAGCCGCGGUAAUAC
rnacentral:rRNA from 1 species